UACGGGGGGGCAAGCGUUGUUCGGAAUUACUGGGCGUAAAGGGCGCGUAGGCGGCCUGCUAAGUCGGAUGUGAAAUCCCUCGGCUCAACCGAGGAACUGCAUCCGAUACUGGCGGGCUUGAAUCCGGGAGAGGGAUGUGGAAUUCCAGGUGUAGCGGUGAAAUGCGUAGAUAUCUGGAGGAACACCGGUGGCGAAGGCGGCAUCCUGGACCGGUAUUGACGCUGAGGCGCGAAAGCUAGGGGAGCAAACGGGG
rnacentral:rRNA from 1 species